GCCUGGGUGGCUCAGUCGUUGGGCGUCUGCCUUCGGCUCAGGGCAUGAUUCCAGUGUUGUGGGAUCGAGCCCCACAUCAGGCU
rnacentral:tRNA from 1 species